rnacentral:rRNA from 1 species
CCUACGGGUGGCAGCAGUGGGGAAUAUUGCGCAAUGGGCGAAAGCCUGACGCAGCGACGCCGCGUGAGGGAUGAAGGUCUUCGGAUCGUAAACCCCUGUCUGCAGGGAAGAACGGUCACUGUGCUAAUCAGCAGUGAAUUGACGGUACCUGCAAAGGAAGCACCGGCUAACUCCGUGCCCGCAGCCGCGGUAAUACGGAGGGUGCGGGCGUUAAUCGGAAUUACUGGGCGUAAGGCGCUCGUAGGCGGUAUGUCAAGUCAAGGGUGAAAUCCCCGCGCUCAACGUGGGAACUGCCUUUGAAACUGGCAAACUGGAGUGUGUGAGAGGAUAGUGGAAUGCCAGGUGUAGGAGUGAAAUCCGUAGAUAUCUGGAGGAACAUCAGUGGCGAAGGCGACUAUCUGGCACAUAACUGACGCUGAGGAGCGAAAGCGUGGGGAGCAAACAGGAUUAGAUACCCCUGUAGUC